rnacentral:rRNA from 1 species
GCUUAACCUUAACUAAUACAAAAAUAAAUUAUAAAUAAACAAACCAUUUGACAGACCAAGUAGAUGUGAUCGAACAGUAAUUUUCCUCACAGUACCGCAAGGGAAUUAGAUUAAGCAAGAAAUAGCAAAGAUAAAUCCUUGUACCUUUUGUAUCAUGAUUUAGCAAGUUACCAGGACAAGAAGAAUCAAAGCCCACACCCUCGAAACCAGAUGAGCUACUUUAAAGCAGCUAUUUGAGCACACCCUUCUCUGUAGCAAAAGAGUGGGAAGACUUAAAAGUAGAAGUGAAACGCCUAUCGAAUCUGGAGAUAGCUAGCUACCUAAAAAGGAAUAUUAGUUCCACUUUAGAACCCAACAUAAAAAAUUAUAUUCUAAAGAUAAUCAAUUGGGGUACAGCUCUAUUGAAACAGGAAACAACCUGAAUUUGAGAGUAAACAUUUAAACUAAUCAGUAGGACUUAAAGCAACCAUCUAAAAAAAUAUCGUUACAGAAUUUAUACAAAAAUACAAAAACUAAACAAAUUCUCCAAACAAACUAAAGGUAAACCCAUACCUAUGAGUACUAUAAUGCUAAAACUAAUAAUAAGAUUAAAUCUCUAUACGCACCUAUCCACUAGAAACGGAACAACCACUAGAUAUUAACAGACCACAAUAGGUAAUUAACAAACUAUACUCAUAACAUUCUAACUGUGACCCCAACACAGGAGCGUAAAAAAGAAAGAUUAACUAUUAUAAAAGGAACUCGGCAACCAAAAACCUCAACUGUUUAACAAAAACAUAACCCUUAGCCAGACAAAUAUUAAGGGCAACGCCUGCCCAGUGAACAAUUAAACGGCCGCGGUAUCCUAACCGUGCAAAGGUAGCAUAAUCAUUUGUCUAUUAAUUGUAGACCUGUAUGAAAGGCAAAAUGAAGGUUUAACUGUCUCUUAUAAUCUAUCUAUUAAACUGAUCUCCUAGUAAAAAAGCUAGGAUGUAAACAUAAGACCAGAAGACCCUGUGAAGCUUAAACUAAAUUAUUAAACUAAAUAAUAACUACUUUCGGUUGGGGCGACCUUGGAAAUAAAAAGAACUUCCAAACAACUACACCCAUAGGCCAACUAGCCUAAUAAUCUGACCCAGUAAAUACUGAUUAUUGAAACAAGUUACUCCAGGGAUAACAGCGCUAUCUUCUUCAAGAGCCCACAUCAAAAAGAAGGUUUACGACCUCGAUGUUGGAUCAGGACAUCCUAAUGGUGCAACCGCUAUUAAGGGUUCGUUUGUUCAACGAUUAAUGUCCUACGUGAUCUGAGUUCAGACCGGAGUAAUCCAGGUCGGUUUCUAUCUAUGAUACAUUACACCCAGUACGAAAGGACCGGUAUAAUGAAGCCCAUUCUACAAGAACGCUUCAAUAUCAACACAUCAACCAAGAUAAGGUUAAUUGGGAAUAACCCAAUAAUUACCACAGUAUUA